AGCAGGGACGAAGCGAGAGUGACGGUACCUGCAGAAGAAGCACCGGCUAACUACGUGCCAGCAGCCGCGGUAAUACGUAGGGUGCAAGCGUUGUCCGGAAUUAUUGGGCGUAAAGAGCUCGUAGGCGGCCUGUCGCGUCUGCUGUGAAAACCCGGAGCUUAACUCCGGGCCUGCAGUGGAUACGGGCAGGCUAGAGCGCGGUAGGGGAGACUGGAAUUCCUGGUGUAGCGGUGGAAUGCGCAGAUAUCAGGAGGAACACCGGUGGCGAAGGCGGGUCUCUGGGCCGAUAUUGACGCUGAGGAGCGAAAGCGUGGGGAGCGAACAGGAUUAGAUACCCUGGUAGUCCACGCCGUAAACGGUGGGCGCUAGGUGUGGGCCACAUUCCACGUGGUCUGUGCCGCAGCUAACGCAUUAAGCGCCCCGCCUGGGGAGUACGGCCGCAAGGCUAAAACUCAAAGGAAUUGACGGGGGCCCGCACAAGCGGCGGAGCAUGUGGCUUAAUUCGAUGCAACGCGAAGAACCUUACCUGGGUUUGACAUAUACCGGAAAGCUGCAGAGAUGUAGCCCCCGCAAGGUCGGUAUACAGGUGGUGCAUGGCUGUCGUCAGCUCGUGUCGUGAG
rnacentral:rRNA from 1 species